rnacentral:rRNA from 1 species
CCUACGGGCGGCAGCAGUGGGGAAUAUUGGACAAUGGGCGAAAGCCUGAUCCAGCCAUGCCGCGUGUGUGAAGAAGGCCUUCGGGUUGUAAAGCACUUUCAGUGGGGAAGAAAGCCUUGGGGCUAAUACCCUCGAGGAAGGACAUCACCCACAGAAGAAGCACCGGCUAACUCCGUGCCAGCAGCCGCGGUAAUACGGAGGGUGCGAGCGUUAAUCGGAAUUACUGGGCGUAAAGCGCGCGUAGGCGGUCUGAUAAGCCGGUUGUGAAAGCCCCGGGCUCAACCUGGGAACGGCAUCCGGAACUGUCAGGCUAGAGUGCAGGAGAGGAAGGUAGAAUUCCCGGUGUAGCGGUGAAAUGCGUAGAGAUCGGGAGGAAUACCAGUGGCGAAGGCGGCCUUCUGGACUGACACUGACGCUGAGGUGCGAAAGCGUGGGUAGCAAACAGGAUUAGAUACCCGAGUAGC